rfam:Schistosoma mansoni strain Puerto Rico chromosome W, complete genome
AUCCACCUGACGAAUCCCAAACAGGAAGAAACGCGCGUCAAACUGAAU